rnacentral:misc_RNA from 1 species
GAUGAAGAACGUAGCGAAACGCGAUAGGUAAUGUGAAUUGCAGAAUUCCGUGAAUCAUCUAAUCUUUGAACGCACCUUGCGCUCCAUGGCAUUCCGUGGAGCAUGCCUGUUUGAGUGCCGCGAAAUCUCCCACCCCUAGCGGUUGCCGCAAGGCGCCGCCGGGCGGCGGGGUUGGUUGGGUGCCGCUGCCUGGGCUUUGGCCCAGGCUCGCCCGAAAUGCAUGAGCGCUUAGCACUCGCACCGUCUCGAGGGAAGGCGGCGGAGCUGGCAUCUGCGCAUGGCAUGAUACGUCAUUUGCUGUGUGGCAGCCCAGCGACCCGAGAGUGUGUGCGCUACUACACGCCCUUUCAUUUCUGGUCUCAAAUCAGGUAGGAUCACCCGCUGAACUUAAGCAUAUCAAUAAGCGGAGGA